UAUCCUUCCUUGCUGGCUAAGAUCAAGUGUUGUUAUCUGUUCUUCUCAGUUUAAUGUCUGAUAUGCUCCUCUAUAUGGGGACUACAUAUUAAGCAGUUUUUGUCAUGAGGCAGUAAUUUGGGGCUUGCUCCUUUUUCUCUCACCAUCGACACCUAGCAUUGCAGUACCCUGGGAACGGUACGCACU